GCAUUUGGUAGUGCCUUUCUUCAUGAGGGAGUAUUAGGAUGAAGAUUGACAUUUUGGGCACAUGGCCUGUCUCCAAUAAAGAGAAGUGGCCAAGAUACUGUUUUCCCUACUAAUUCUUUGAGAUCAAUUUACUUAAUUCCACAG